GUUAAAGAAUUAUGUUCAAUAAUUUAUCAACCAUUUUUCUCUCUGAACAAAAUAUUAACCAAACCCAACGAAACCCAUUAUGCAUGUAUUUCACGGAACUCAGCGAAACCCAGCGAAACCCAUUUUUCAAUCCACUCUCUGAACAAUCAACGAAACCCAACGAAACUCAGCAAUGGUGACGACAACGAAGCUCUCAGUUCCUUUCACGAAGCUAAUGCUUGUACUAUUAGCAUGUUGAGAACUUUGUCCGCUACAUUUACCAGAGAAGAGGAAGACUCUCGUUGACUUGUUCCAUUUCAAAAGUCCACAACUAUGGUACAGUUGAUUUUGAGCGAAGACCUUCUAGUAAAUGGGGUGUUCUUUACAAGAGAAUCUCGAUGAUGAAAAACCCUGAAUUGGGUUCUGCUUCUGUCCUGUGUUGAAUCAGUGGGAGAAUGAAGGUAAACCUCUUACAAAAUAGGAUCUUUGUAGAAUUGCCAAGGAGUUGAGAAAGUAUAUAAGACAUGACAAAGCUCUUCAGAUAUUUGAAUGGAUAAACAACCGACCAGGGAGGUUUAGAAUGUCUGCAAGUGACGUUGCGAUUCAGUUAGAUUUAGUCUCAAGAGCUCACGGAGUUUCAAGAGCAGAAGGAUUUUUUCUGAACCUGACUAAUGUUUCAAUGUGGUUAUAGAUGUAUUCAAUGUAUUAUUAUAAUCGAUUUAAUACUUCACAAACCCAAGGCCUAUAGACAUCUCCUUUACAAUGUCAUUAAUCAAGAAACCUUGAAGUUUCAGGGACUGUUUGGAAAUUGGCUGCCAUUUUUCUUCUUUUUGAUGCAUACAGAUAUUUGAUCUUGGAAAGUAGAAAAAGUAAAUCGAGUUCAUCAAUGAGCUACUCCUCACUAGUGUCAAUGUGUUGCAAAGUGAUGAUGGAUGUCUUCUUUGGAAACUUUAUGUUUCUUUUAACCUUCUUCUUUAUGGUCAAGAUGUUUCUUCAUAUAUCUAUCAGUGUCUCCAGAUAACGAGGCCGAUGGACAGGAGCAGUCAGAAUCACAGUUGCAGCCUAUAUCUGGAAAUGGAAUUUCUCAUGCUGGUAUUGAUACUCAGGUUGUUCAGUAUGGACCACCUCCACAACUUGGCCCUGGACAUGCUACGGUAAUUGAAGACCCAGUCAUUAUUAUUAGAUUAAUUGAUAAUGUGAUACGGUGGUGACGUCAUAAGGCAAACUUGAAUGGUUAUCUCUCCUAUCAAACUGGCCAAAGCUUAGAUAAGAUAAUUGUUUUCUUGGUUCUAGUUUUUUUGUGCCUUAAAGUUUGAAAAGAAUUAGUGAAUUUCUACUUUUAAGGGCGAGCUUGUUGCUUCUUCAUGUAAGGCCCAAUCUACUGCUGUGGCAGAGGUAUGGCUUUGGCAGGUUGGUUCAUGGAAAGCAGUUGGUCGCUUGCAAUCUCACAGUUUAACAGUAACACAGAUGGAAUUCUCACACGAUGACCACUUUCUUUUGACUGUCUCAAGGGAUCGUCAGUUCUCCAUUUUUACAAUCACAAGAACAGGAAGCGGUGAAAUCAGUUAUAGUCUUCUCACAAGGCAGGAAGGACACAAGCGGAUUAUCUGGUCAUGUUCUUGGAACCCACACGGCCAUGAAUUUGCAACAGGUUCACGUGACAAAAUAGUGAAAAUCUGGGCCGUAGAAAAGGAAUCAUCAUCAGUAAAGCAGCUGAUGACUUUACCUCAAUUGACAAGUAGUGUGACAGCAUUAUCUUGGGCUGGUCUCCCUCAUCGAAGAAACAAUGGAGUUCUAGCCGUUGGAAUGGAAAACGGACAAAUAGAAUUAUGGAAUCUGUCCUAUAACAGACAAGACAAUGCACCGGGUUCCGCCGCCGCUCUUCUUGUUCGUGUUGAUCCUUUUAAAUGCCAUGCCUCUACCGUAAACCAACCGUCUGGCAUGGAGAGAAAAUGAGGAAGAUAACAAGAGUUUGCAACUUGCUUCUUGUGGAGCUGAUAAUUGUGUAAGAGUGUUCGAUGUAACUGUUGAGUAAUUAGAUUAUUCUUUCCCAUCUUUUUUGAUAUAUCUAUGGAUUAUUAUUAUCACAUGAUUUUGAAACUAUUUUUAGGUGA